AUUGAACGCUGGCGGCAUGCUUUACACAUGCAAGUCGAACGGCAGCACGGGCUUCGGCCUGGUGGCGAGUGGCGAACGGGUGAGUAAUGCAUCGGAACGUGCCCAUUUGUGGGGGAUAACUACGCGAAAGCGUGGCUAAUACCGCAUACGCCCUGAGGGGGAAAGCGGGGGAUUCUUCGGAACCUCGCGCAAUUGGAGCGGCCGAUGUCAGAUUAGCUUGUUGGUGAGGUAAAGGCUCACCAAGGCGACGAUCUGUAGCGGGUCUGAGAGGAUGAUCCGCCACACUGGGACUGAGACACGGCCCAGACUCCUACGGGGGGCAGCAGUGGGGAAUUUUGGACAAUGGGCGAAAGCCUGAUCCAGCGACGCCGCGUGGAGGACGAAGCCCUUCGGGGUGUAAACUCCUUUUCUCAGGGAAAAAGGAUGAUGGUACCUGAGGAAUAAGCCCCGGCUAACUACGUG
rnacentral:rRNA from 1 species